rnacentral:rRNA from 1 species
AACGAACGCUGGCGGCAUGCCUAACACAUGCAAGUCGAACGAGACCUUCGGGUCUAGUGGCGCACGGGUGCGUAACGCGUGGGAACCUGCCCUUAGGUUCGGAAUAACUCCCCGAAAGGGGUGCUAAUACCGGAUAAUGUCUUUGGACCAAAGAUUUAUCGCCUUUGGAUGGGUCCGCGUUGGAUUAGCUAGUUGGUAGGGUAAAAGCCUACCAAGGCGACGAUCCAUAGCUGGUCUGAGAGGAUGAUCAGCCACACUGGGACUGGGACACGGCCCAGACUCCUACGGGAGGCAGCAGUGGGGAAUAUUGGACAAUGGGCGAAAGCCUGAUCCAGCAAUGCCGCGUGAGUGAUGAAGGCCUUAGGGUUGUAAAGCUCUUUUACCCGGGAUGAUAAUGACAGUACCGGGAGAAUAAGCUCCGGCUAACUCCGUG